rnacentral:lncRNA from 13 species
GGAGCAGCUCCCGCACGCUCCCCCGCCCCGCACGGCGCAGGGGGUGCCCGAGACCGGCUGACAGCUCCCCCCGCCCCGCUCGCACCCGCGGCCGCCCCUGCCCGCGCCCCGCGGCCCCGGCGCACAUCGCGGCCCACAGGGCGCCGGGGCCUGCGGAGGCCGCUCGGCCCGGCCCAGGCCCGGUACUCACGGGGAAGGCGCGGAUCCGCAUCUUGGUGUCCUUCCGGCUGCCCGUCCCCUUGCUCAGAGUCCAGUGAGUUUGGCAAAGCAGGCCCGUGUGUGCUGCACCUGGCUUUUGGAACAGUCAUGACAUGGAUGCAAGAUAAAAAUAAACUUUGGAUGCCAAUGAGUUAUUUGUUUUAUCUUCAAGAAAUACCUAAAUAAAGAAUGUCCUCAUGAGAGGGCAUGGUGUGUUGGUAGCACAGAUCCAUUCCCAUUAAAUGGCUACAGUUUCUCAAGACAUUAAAAGACAAAAUGCAGAAAAAACAAUGGAUGAAGAGCUACAUACACCUGAAUAAAAGUCUGUAUGCAAGACCAUCUUCCCAGGAUGGAUGUAUCAGAUGUAUGGCAAAAUUUUCCUAAUAUAAAUACAAUGUAUUAAGAAAAGUUCGUUGUUACUGAUGUUCUUUACACAAGCCUGCUGUGCUGAUAAAAAGAAAAUAAAUAUUUGAUCAAGCAGUGACACCUUUUCAAGGUGAUACUCAAGUUGGCAAUCACAUUUCUUAGUAUAUCUCUCUGACCCAAAUUCUUUCUAGGGAUUGAAAUCAGCUGUGGCCAGAUCUCAAGGCUUAUUUGACUCCAGCUACAUGGCUAGGGGAUGUUUUAUUCAUGUCGUUAUUGAAAUCACUGCUUCAAUUUAAAAUGCUGUCAGUCUGCAGAUUCUGCCCAUAGAGGAUAAGCCAAGCAAUAUUCCUCAAAUGAGCUGUGUUGCACAUAGCACUACUGAAAAUCAAUUUUUAUUGCAUAUACCAUUGAUAUUUCUUAAUUUGAGCAAACAGCAGGUUCGAUACCACAGUAAAAAAAAAAUCUGGCUCUGUAAAACACUUCUGUUUUAGUAUGGAGAGAGAAUACUAGUAGUAAUUUCAAGACAGAUGAUAAGAAUUAUUCCUGGGAGAUAAUUUUCUUCUUCUCUGUUUAAUGGGAUCCUUCCAAUAUCUAACUGGAAGUGGAGGAAUAAGAAAAAAACCCGUUCAAAUUGCUUAACAAGAAUCUCCAUCACCAACUUUUCUGGUUCUUCUAAUUGAGAAAUUAUAGCAGCUAGGGAUAGGCACAUGUUAUUAUCAGAAACCUUUUGCAACCAGUAACAUGGAUCCAGUUACAUGCUUCAAUACUUUCUACUGGUUUUAUGACUGUAGUAUAAAAAAAAACCAAACAAAAAGGAUGUGAAAACACAAAAACCCCUCAAUAUUCUGGCAUUUUCAAAAUGCUACAAUUUCAUUUUUUGGUCAGUAUUACUACAAAUUUCCUUCCAUUUUACUUUAAAGGCCACCGUAAGGGAUAUUUCUGGCGUCUCCAGUAUGCAGGACAACUGUAUGUAUGCAGAUCAUACACCAUCAAUCUACCUGUCUUUAAAAAGGCUCUUAAUUAACUUGCAAGGGUUUGGAUUCACCUUAGCUAAAGACCUUCAGCAAUUCUCCUCCUCAAAGAUUUCCAAUUUUAUUUUAUUUUUUAAGUGAAGCAGGCAUCUUAGCAGGACACAAAUUUAACAAAUGUGUGUAUUAAUGAAGUGCGUGUGGGCUGAACGUUAACUGCAAGCCUUGUCUCUAGUACCAGAUUGUUCAGGAAAAUAGAAGUAAAUUCUAG